GCCCCGCGCCGUCGUCGGUCCCUGCUUGUUCUCCCCAGGAGUCUCGGAUUGCAGUCAGAGUCGGGCAGGGCACGAGUCGCGGGGGGAUGCAGAACUCGGGGAUGCGGUCCGGGGAGGCGCUCGGGUCCCAGGCGGAGCCGCUCCAGGCACCACAUCAGGCAGCAGGUGCCGGUUCCUGAGGAAGCUCCGCUGGAGCUGGUCAUCCUGCAACGCACAAGCACACACGGAUCUCAGGGAUAUUCGGCUUGCUCCCCGCUUUUAAGCUCAAAGAGCCUCAGACGAGUCCCGGGGAGAGUUAAGCAAGGCUAUGGCCUCACCUAAUACACCUGGGGUCCAGCGUCAUACAGGUCUCCGCACCGUUCUGCCUGGGGCACCAAACUGUAGAGGUGCACGGCCUCUGGGGAGAUCAAAGUUCCUCCUGCGGGGUUCAGUAAAGUUUAAAGGCCGUCGGCCUGAACCUUUAUACCUGAGGCCUGGGAAGCCUGCCAAUGGGCGGGCUGGAUUGGUACUGCUAGGUAAUCUGACGCCAAGCCUUCCAACUUUUGCUCUGCCACGUGGCUGGAUCCACAGUGCAAAUUGUAGGCAUUCAGUUCUGAAUGUAAGUGCUUCUGUUUACUUAUGUGCAAAAGAGGGCCCAGUCUUUACUAUAUGGCAAAGUCAUUGUGAGGAUCAAUGGGCAUACUGAAUUGAAUCACAGAAGCUCUCUAUACCCACCAUGAAGAGGAUACAAAACUCAUUCUUAGUUGAUAUCCUCCCCCCAAUCCAGCCUUUAGUCUGCCCAGGUUUCAAAGUUCCCUACCUGCCUUCUGGCUUUCUGUUCUGAUUUUAAAUCAUUUUCCUUUGUUGACUACAAACCACUGUGUGUACAGGGAACCUUAUAGGUUGCUGGAAAUAUUCUGCAUCUUGAUCUGGGUGGGGUUACUGGAUUGUAUUCAUAUGUAAAAAGAUAUUCUAGCAUGCAUUUAAGAUUAGAUAUAAGAUUAUGUAUCUUAUACCUCAAUUUAAACAAUAACAACCUGCUUCUUAAACCUUGUGUGCUGAUUUUUAAAUUUGGAAAUUAUAUUCCUGCACACAGCUGGGCUGUUGGACCCAUCUUUUGGAGGCACCCUAACCACAUCUGGCCUUUGUAGACAGUGCUCACCUGAGAGACCUUUUCCUUCCUUUUGAAAACUGACCUAAGUUCACAUUCUAAGUGACCUUCU